UGCUCAGUGCUUCAGGACGAUGCUAGGUUCUGGUCUAGAAUUCAAACUAGUUUUGAAUUGUUGCUUCAAGGUAUGCAAACUCCAGAGAGAAAUGAGAUUUCAGCAGCUUCAUAUGUCUGGCCUGUUGUAUUACUUGGCCCUUCAAGGUUUAAUGUGCAACUGUGUAUUUAUCACUCUUCUGAGAGUCCAGAUUUUCUCAUGUAUUUCACAGCAAAAUGAAGCACUUGAUUUGGAAAUGUGUUUUGUAUUUAGAGGCCAGAUCCCUGAUCUGAUACGUCAGUAUCUAGCUAAAGGUAAAAAUUUUAAAAUGUUAUAUGAAAAGGAAGUCUUGUCAAUCUAAAAUGAUAUUGAGAAAGUAUUUGCUAAUCAAAAGCUAGUUACAUAAUUUUAGUAAAUAUAGAUUGGCUUUUUUUUUUUUUUAACAGGUCAGGUGAGUGGCUCAGCAAUGUGUGACACUACAAAAGCUGUAAGUUAACACAAUAAACACAUGGUUUACAUGUAACCAUUCCUGGUACACAUUGGCUAUCUGUAAUACAGGUCUCAGAAAACAGACCAGCAACACCUAGUUGACUUCUCAGAAGUAUAUUUAGUUCAGAAACUUCAGCAAAGUUUUCCACAUGAGACUCAUUCACCUGAGGCCAUCUUGAAUUGUUUGGUGCUUGGGUAGCUCAGAUGGGACCAUAGGCCUGGGUCCCCAAAGGUCAUCUGGGGUCCUUGGGUAUCUGACUCCUGUUUAAAUAUUUUUUUGCUGGGCAGUAGGAGGUAAGUAUCUGAAUAGCUUUAGAUUCUGAGCCUCAUUUUUUUUCUUCCUCAGGCAUUACAUCAGAGAUCUCUCACUGCACCUGCAAAUGUACACUUUCUAGAAAAUAACUCUGGACAAGAAUAUCCUACUUCUAAUGAACAGAUUUCAGCUCUUCUGCUCUAGUGGCCUGCACUGCCCUGCCCUGCACUGCACUGAGCUCCAUUUUGUAAUUGGCAGGAGGUUGUGUUUUCCUUCUCGAAAGAUUGCAGACUACUCAGUUUCUCCAGGGCUCUCAGAGGUGACAAGAAUGGACUCCCAAGGCAUGGCUGCAAUGGUUGUUUGAAACAAGAAACAGAUACCUUCUUGCUGUCAUUCAUCUCUGGUCACUGGCAAUCGGAGCUUGAAGGAAGGUGAAAGAAAACUCCUACAGAGAACUGGGAAUAAUUUGUCUUGUAAGAGGAGUAUAAUGGCCUUUUUAAAGCUUUUACCAAAUAUCAGGACAUGUGAUAAGAAUUUAUGAAUUGGGAAUUAAUUGAAAGAUUGUGAAAUGGGAAAGAAUUCACAUUAUGGGAAGUGUUGGAGAACUACAACCUAAGCACUCUGAUAUUUGUGACCAAGCCUGCAGAAUAUCUAGAGGUGAUGGAACUAUCUCAGAUGACUGUUGUUUUAAAAUAUAAUUUGCAAGCCCCUGCACCCUUCCCCAGACAGACUGGGAAAAUACAUUCCUUUUAUUAAUAUUACUCCAGGGGACUGGAGGGUAUUCUGAGCAGUGAAACAUACAGUUUAUGGGACUUGCUACAGAAUUCAGAUUUUAAAAAAAAGACGGUGCUAAUUUGUACCUGGGAGUUGGUAUCUGUUUAAAAAAAAUUCUGUUCUAAAGAUAACUUCUUUACAUUUUCCUGUGUAUUAAAUAACACAUCUAUAUGAUAAAACAUGAAAUGUAUAAUUAAAACAAUGGCUAUAAGUAUAGAAUUGUGUAAAUGCUACCUAAAUCAUAUGUGUAAACAUUAAAUAAACAGUUUCAUUUCUAAAGGUUACAGAAAACACAUUUUAGGAUUUUAUAUAGUCUUUCUACCCCUUUCCCCACUAGUUUUUAAUAUAAUUGCAGU